CAUGCAAGUCGAGCGGACAGAAGGGAGCUUGCUCCCGGAUGUUAGCGGCGGACGGGUGAGUAACACGUGGGUAACCUGCCUGUAAGACUGGGAUAACUCCGGGAAACCGGAGCUAAUACCGGAUAGUUCCUUGAACCGCAUGGUUCAAGGAUGAAAGACGGUUUCGGCUGUCACUUACAGAUGGACCCGCGGCGCAUUAGCUAGUUGGUGAGGUAACGGCUCACCAAGGCGACGAUGCGUAGCCGACCUGAGAGGGUGAUCGGCCACACUGGGACUGAGACACGGCCCAGACUCCUACGGGAGGCAGCAGUAGGGAAUCUUCCGCAAUGGACGAAAGUCUGACGGAGCAACGCCGCGUGAGUGAUGAAGGUUUUCGGAUCGUAAAGCUCUGUUGUUAGGGAAGAACAAGUGCAAGAGUAACUGCUUGCACCUUGACGGUACCUAACCAGAAAGCCACGGCUAACUACGUGCCAGCAGCCGCGGUAAUACGUAGGUGGCAAGCGUUGUCCGGAAUUAUUGGGCGUAAAGGGCUCGCAGGCGGUUUCUUAAGUCUGAUGUGAAAGCCCCCGGCUCAACCGGGGAGGGUCAUUGGAAACUGGGAAACUUGAGUGCAGAAGAGGAGAGUGGAAUUCCACGUGUAGCGGUGAAAUGCGUAGAGAUGUGGAGGAACACCAGUGGCGAAGGCGACUCUCUGGUCUGUAACUGACGCUGAGGAGCGAAAGCGUGGGGAGCGAACAGGAUUAGAUACCCUGGUAGUCCACGCCGUAAACGAUGAGUGCUAAGUGUUAGGGGGUUUCCGCCCCUUAGUGCUGCAGCUAACGCAUUAAGCACUCCGCCUGGGGAGUACGGUCGCAAGACUGAAACUCAAAGGAAUUGACGGGGGCCCGCACAAGCGGUGGAGCAUGUGGUUUAAUUUGAAGCAACGCGAAGAACCUUACCAGGUCUUGACAUCCUCUGACAACCCUAGAGAUAGGGCUUUCCCUUCGGGGACAGAGUGACAGGUGGUGCAUGGUUGUCGUCAGCUCGUGUCGUGAGAUGUUGGGUUAAGUCCCGCAACGAGCGCAACCCUUGAUCUUAGUUGCCAGCAUUCAGUUGGGCACUCUAAGGUGACUGCCGGUGACAAACCGGAGGAAGGUGGGGAUGACGUCAAAUCAUCAUGCCCCUUAUGACCUGGGCUACACACGUGCUACAAUGGACAGAACAAAGGGCUGCGAGACCGCAAGGUUUAGCCAAUCCCACAAAUCUGUUCUCAGUUCGGAUCGCAGUCUGCAACUCGACUGCGUGAAGCUGGAAUCGCUAGUAAUCGCGGAUCAGCAUGCCGCGGUGAAUACGUUCCCGGGCCUUGUACACACCGCCCGUCACACCACGAGAGUUUGCAACACCCGAAGUCGGUGAGGUAACCUUUAUGGAGCCAGCCGCCGAAGG
rnacentral:rRNA from 1 species